UAACUUAAAAUAAUUAGAAUCCCUAAUCCAUAAACUUGAUAUCCAUGUUCCGCCUCUCAGAUGCGGAGCUAGGAUAUUAAGUGUAUGGGUUCUAAAUUACAAAUACAAGAUCUCGAAAAAAAUACUAAAUUUUCUUUCACUGUAGCUUUACUGUAGACAUAUGAAAAUUUUCUUCUUAAUAAGGCAAGUAUAACAGUAAGUGAAACAUGACUCUAUUCCAACACAGAAUCGGAGCAACUAAACUGGCAAAAAUAAUUAUCAAAAGAAAAUAAUCUAAAAAGGGCUCAUUUCAAUAUUAAAACUACAUCACUCUACUGACUAAUUUUUGAAGAUCAUGACGAUCUGAUGGUACUGAGUGACAGUGAUGAAGCAAUAAGGCAAAUGAAAAAGAAUAUCAGAGUUGUACUUACACGAACGGUAGCAAAAGUUGGUAGAGAAAAAGAUACGUCAGAGACGUCAAGGGGAAUCGCCUGAGAAGUUAAGAUUCGCCGGAGAAUUCAGUCAAUUUCGGUUUGAAAUACUACUGACAGAGAAAAAGGGGAAAAUGAAAAGUGGAAAGAAGAGUAGUAUUGUUUAUAGCUACUAUUAUCCAACAGAGAAGCACACAAGGAUAAAGUGCUUUCUAUUGCUUUAUGUGAUAGCGCAGAACCUUU
rnacentral:lncRNA from 1 species